rnacentral:rRNA from 1 species
CCUANUAACGGCGAGUGAAGCGGUAACAGCUCAAAUUUGAAAUCUGGCCUCUGAGGUCCGAGUUGUAAUUUGCAGAAGGUGCUUCGGAUGUAACAAUGGUACAAGUCCUUUGGAAUUGGGCGUCAUAGAGGGUGAUAACCCCGUUUGUGACCGCUUUGUUCAUCCAUGUGAAGCCCUUUCGACGAGUCGAGUUGUUUGGGAAUGCAGCUCAAAAUGGGUGGUAGACUUCAUCUAAAGCUAAAUAUCAGCCAGAGACCGAUAGCGCACAAGUAGAGUGAUCGAAAGAUGAAAAGCACUUUGAAAAGAGAGUCAAACAGCACGUGAAAUUGUUGAAAGGGAAGCGCUAGCCACCAGACUUGCUUGUAUUGUUCAGCCUCCUGAAAAGGUGGUGUAUUCUUUACUUGCAGGCCAGCAUCGGUUUCGACGGUCGGAUAAAAGCUUAUGGAAAGUAGCUUUCCUCCGGGGAAGUGUUAUAGCCUGAGUACAAUGCGACCAGUUGGACCGAGGAACGCGCUUUUGCUCGGAUGUUGGCAUAAUGGUUGUUAGCGACCCGUCUUGAAACACGGACCAAGGAGUCGACCAAUUAAGCGAGCGUUAGGGUGUAAAACCCACGGCGCGUAAUGAAAGUAAACGUAGGUGGGAAGCCUUUGGCAGCACCAUCGACCGAUCUGAGUUCGCGAGGAUUUGAGUAUGAGUUUCAUUGGUCGGACCCGAAAGAAGGUGAACUAUUCCCGAAUAGGUUGAAGUCAGGUGAAAACCUGAUGGAAGACCGCAGCGGUUCUGACGUGCAAAUCGAUCGUCAAAUUUAGGAAUAGGGGCGAAAGACUAAUCGAAC